GACGAACGCUGGCGGCGUGCCUAAUACAUGCAAGUUGAGCGCUGAAGGUUGGUACUUGUACCAACUGGAUGAGCAGCGAACGGGUGAGUAACGCGUGGGGAAUCUGCCUUUGAGCGGGGGACAACAUUUGGAAACGAAUGCUAAUACCGCAUAAAAACUUUAAACACAAGUUUUAAGUUUGAAAGAUGCAAUUGCAUCACUCAAAGAUGAUCCCGCGUUGUAUUAGCUAGUUGGUGAGGUAAAGGCUCACCAAGGCGAUGAUACAUAGCCGACCUGAGAGGGUGAUCGGCCACAUUGGGACUGAGACACGGCCCAAACUCCUACGGGAGGCAGCAGUAGUGAAUCUUCGGCAAUGGACGAAAGUCUGACCGAGCAACGCCGCGUGAGUGAAGAAGGUUUUCGGAUCGUAAAACUCUGUUGGUAGAGAAGAACGUUGGUGAGAGUGGAAAGCUCAUCAAGUGACGGUAACUACCCAGAAAGGGACGGCUAACUACGUG
rnacentral:rRNA from 1 species